AGGCAGGGUGGGGUGGGGGCUGAACAGAGGAACGGCAGGGGUGUAGGGUGUCUCGAGCCCAGUGUGAACAGCUGAGAGGUGUGAUUUCACAGGCUGGCUCCCCCCUGUCAGGGCCCUGAUUGGGCCGGACAGGAGGCGCAGGAGAGGCCCGGGCUUCUAAAGGACACCAACAGGUGGGAGGCCGCUUUGGAGGGGGGCGCUCCUGGCGGGAUAGAAAAGGCCGAUCUGCAAGGCCUGUUGUGGGCACAAUCCACCGGGCCAGAUACGGAGGAGGAUGGUUGAUCGCAGGAUAGCUGAGGCGAAGAGAGGAGAGAGGCAGGAUGGAGUUGGGGAAUGGUUCUCAGGAGGCUGAGGGGUAGUUUGGGAGCUUCAGGGACAAGAGUAAGUCUGAGAGUUAGGUCUUUUCUGACCAAGUGUUUUUGGUCAUAGUCUUUGAGAUUUAGAUUUCUUCUUCUUGUAGGUAGCUUUUCUUUUUUGUUGGUUAAUAUAAAUGGUUAAUAUUUAACAUCAACAAAUGAGCUUUUAACUGACAAGCUUUUCUGUUGGGUUCUUCCAGAUUUAGAAGUUGCAGAUGUAUAGUAUUUUUCAGUUUCCUUCAUUCGCAGCACCAUGUGAGUAAACUCAGGUGUCAAACCAUUUGUUAAACGUUUUCUGUAAGUUUUACGAUAGAAGAGGCACACCGUGGCAGAGCCUGACACCUCUGUCAGGUGAGGGGGGGUGGUAGCUGAGGUGUGAUACAGGAAAGAAUCAGGAAAUUUGGUGACUUGACAUGUGUCUCUCAAAGGAAGAAGGGCAAGUCUUUCUAAUGACCAUUUGGUUUCGGAGCUGGUUGACAGCAGUGGUUAGAUUGAUCAAGGAAGUCACCACGAGAAAGUAUAACUGAACCCAACGUGGCCUCAAGCUCAGCUCCAGCUGCUCGCCACAAGAUAACCACCACGAGAGGAGAUGCAGCAGAAUUCAUUAAAGGUAAGACCGAAGAGGACAUGACGGCCUGACUGCUAGCAGAUGAUGCCCACCUUCUAUUUCCGCUCGUUCUCAUCUGUCAUUUCCUUCUUUUUCUAUGUCCUCUACCCCCUGUAACCUCCCCUCUGCAUGCCCUCUCCUGCUUUCUCUCUCUUUCUUUCUUUCUCUCUCUCGAUCUGCCUCUUGCAGCUGAAGCAACACACCUUGCUGUGGCUGGUCAAACGGAACCAAGUCAGGUGUUUCUGUGAGGUUUGGUCCCCUUCAACCAGCUACUGCGUCGUGAAUUCAGUCAGCAGACACCGGCGUGGAAUCAAAGACACAGUGGCGUUGCGGUGAAUGCUGCAUACUUUAGAGGUGGUCGUCUGUUGAUAAUGUUAUUUCUUUUCUCUUUGGUGGUUUGAUGUUUGUCUUUUCCUGUAUGGCAAUGAAUGUUAAUAAAAGAUUACUGACAACA